CCCUUAGAUGUUCUGGGCCGCACGCGCGCUACACUGAUGCAUUCAACGAGUCCAACCUUGACCGAGAGGUCCGGGUAAUCUUUGAAACUGCAUCGUGAUGGGGCUAGAUUAUUGCAAUUAUUAAUCUUCAACGAGGAAUGCCUAGUAAGCGUGAUUCAUCAAAUCGCGUUGAUUACGUCCCUGCCCUUUGUACACACCGCCCGUCGCUCCUACCGAUUGAGUGUGUUGGUGAGGAGUUUGGAUUGGCCUCGGAAGGUGGUUCGCCACCGUCCGUAGCUGAGAAGUUCUCCACACCGCCCCACUUAGAGGAAGGAGAAGUCGUAACA
rnacentral:rRNA from 1 species